AUUGAACGCUGGCGGCAGGCCUAACACAUGCAAGUCGAACGAGUGGCGGACGGGUGAGUAAUGUCUGGGAAACUGCCCGAUGGAGGGGGAUAACUACUGGAAAAGGUAGCUAAUACCGCAUACCAUCGGAUGUGCCCAGAUGGGAUUAGCUAGUAGGUGGGGUAACGGCUCACCUAGGCGACGAUCCCUAGCUGGUCUGAGAGGAUGACCAGCCAAACUGGAACUGAGACAGGGUCCAUGCUCCUACGGGAGGCAGCAGUGGUGAAUAUUGGACAAUGGGCGCAAGCCGGAUGCAGCCAUGCCGCGUGUAUGAAGAAGGCCUGCGGGUUGUAAAGUACUUUCAGCGAGGAGGCGUUACUCGCAGAAGAAGCACCGGCUAACUCCGUGCCAGCCGCCGCGGUAAUAC
rnacentral:rRNA from 1 species